GUUUGUUUGUUUAAUGUCUUCAAAUCCCAGGAGAAUCACAGCUACAUAAGGAUUUCUUAUAAAGGGAAUACUGUGAGGACCAAGAAUGGGUUAACCCUGACUCCCUCUCCUCCCACCCCUUUCUCUCAGAUACUGGACAGCUGUUGAAAAGUAUCUGUCAACAGAACUAUUACUGUCUUUCCUGGGAUCAACACUGUGUCCUGGACCCUCAAGGUCAGUGGAACUGCCUUCCGAACAAGGAGAGGCAAAAGCUCACAGGACCAAUGAAACCCAAGCAGCUGCGGCAGGUGGACAGCCUUCCCAGUCACCACAAAGUCUAAAGAGAAAGUAGGAGAUCGGAUGUGGGUAUUCACAAGCAUACAAGGACCAAGGUGACUGAUGAGUCCAAAGGUAUGGGACACCAGAGUACCUACACGAACUGGAAAAGAAUUUGAGACCAUCAGAGUGGACAUUCAAGCCCAUUCUCAGCCCCAGGGAUUAUACCCUUUAGAUGGAAGGGUAUAAGAGAAAGAGAUAGAAUUCUCAAGAACACAGACCAGUUUGUCCUUAUCAGCCAAUGUAGUUAAUAGUGUUAGACAUUUCUGAUAAUGUUUUCUGUAUCCUAAGAGUAUGCCUACCACCGAAGAUUAACUUUUAACAUCGUGGACCCUUCAAAUCCUGGCUCUCGCCCCACAUAAUUGUGACAUGCCUACUCUGUGU